CUGUAACCCGCCGGUUAGGGUGAGCCCGAACGACGAAGCGCAGGAGGAAGCCGGUGUGAAUCCGGCGCGGUCCCGCCACUGUGACCAGCACCCGCUGGGAGUCAGGAACUCUGCUUCGCCAGUCACCCGCAA
rnacentral:ncRNA from 2 species